AGAGUUUGAUCCUGGCUCAGGAUGAACGCUAGCUACAGGCUUAACACAUGCAAGUCGAGGGGCAGCAUGGACUCAGCUUCGCUGAGUUUGAUGGCGACCGGCGCACGGGUGAGUAACGCGUAUCCAACCUGCCCUUUACUCCGGGAUAGUCUCCUGAAAGGGAGUUUAAUACCGGAUGUGUUUGUCUUUCCGCAUGGGAGCGACAAAUAAAGAUUGAUUGGUAAAGGAUGGGGAUGCGUCCCAUUAGCUGGUUGGCGGGGUAACGGCCCACCAAGGCGACGAUGGGUAGGGGUUCUGAGAGGAAGGUCCCCCACAUUGGAACUGAGACACGGUCCAAACUCCUACGGGAGGCAGCAGUGAGGAAUAUUGGUCAAUGGGCGGGAGCCUGAACCAGCCAAGUAGCGUGAAGGAUGACGGCCCUACGGGUUGUAAACUUCUUUUAUAAGGGAAUAAAGUUCGCCACGUGUGGUGUUUUGUAUGUACCUUAUGAAUAAGCAUCGGCUAAUUCCGUGCCAGCAGCCGCGGUAAUACGGAAGAUGCGAGCGUUAUCCGGAUUUAUUGGGUUUAAAGGGAGCGUAGGCGGGCUUUUAAGUCAGCGGUCAAAUGUCACGGCUCAACCGUGGCCAGCCGUUGAAACUGUAAGCCUUGAGUCUGCACAGGGCACAUGGAAUUCGUGGUGUAGCGGUGAAAUGCUUAGAUAUCACGAAGAACUCCGAUCGCGAAGGCAUUGUGCCGGGGCAGCACUGACGCUGAGGCUCGAAAGUGCGGGUAUCAAACAGGAUUAGAUACCCUGGUAGUCCGCACGGUAAACGAUGAAUGCUCGCUAUGGGCGAUACAAUGUCCGUGGCCAAGCGAAAGCGUUAAGCAUUCCACCUGGGGAGUACGCCGGCAACGGUGAAACUCAAAGGAAUUGACGGGGGC
rnacentral:rRNA from 1 species